GCGAGCCGGACCCGCACCCUGCCCGGGCCCCCCCGGACAGCGCCCAGCCCUGCUGUCUCCAAGGAGCUGUGGGCCAGGAGGACGGGUGAAACCACCUGGGGGGAACCCCUGAAACUGAGAAAAGACGAGACCAGAGGCCUGGCGCCCCGAACAGGCAGGUGAGAGGGGCCAUCUGCAGCUGCCGUCAGUGCCCAGCACCUCCAGCCGCCCCUGCACAGAGAAAAGAAAAUCCCAAAUGGGCUUUUUUAGGGCUGAGCUGGAAAGCCCAAGGACAUUUCAGUCUCAGCACAGUGAGCCUUAGGGAGUCACGGGGACACCUCUGCAACACCAGCCCAGGCCAAGCUGGAUCCAGCGCCUCGGAGUUUGGGACUGGCACGGGGACGUGCAGAGCGAAGUGGCACUGGCUGAAAUGACGAAUGAGGAAGAGGAGCAGGAGUUAUGGGAAGGGUCACCUUUCCCUGUGGAGACAGUUUAAGAGAUGGAAAAGUCCAUGUAGAGGAGAAAACCAGGAAGGACACAGAGCUGAGAAACAGGAGAAAGCUGCCUAAUGAGCAGAAAGGACCAGGAGAUAGCUGGGGAGAUAGCCAUGCCACCGAAGAGAGCAUGAGGGGGAGUUAUUGACACAGAGGGCACAUUGCUAAAAAUUAAAUCUAUCCCUUCCUCAGCUAGUGUUGACAAAAGAGGACGGGUAGGAGCUAUCACCACCAGACACAUGCAUCCCAGGAGAGGAUGAGACCCCAGAGGAUACUGGGCAUCGGACUGGUGCAAGAAAUCAGCUUCUCUGUGGGUGCAGGCAGGCUCUGCCCUGGGUGUCUGUAGGAAAUAAAUUCAAACCCUUGUUGGAAACUGGGGGCCAUGUAGGCUGGAGGGCACCCAGCGAAGCACCAGCACCUGCGGGCACCAGGGAGGAUCCAGGAGUGCUUCUGGCCCUCAUGGGCACCCCCUGAGCACGAGGGGAAGCACAGGGCCACAUGAUCAGGUGGGAGAAAUGCCACACUAAUUGUGCAUAAAACAGUGUGAUAACAACAGUGGUGCUGCAGAAAAAUGCACCAGAACAUGAGCUCAGCUGGCAGGGCUUCAAAACCCUCCAAAACUCAGCACAUCCAAAACCAGGUUGUGGAAGACGAGACACCGAACUCCUCAGCAAGGGGAUGGGGGCUUCUGUCCGUCAGGCUCGGCCCAGGGAUGCUCCGACCUCCGUGAGCCCUCACUGCAAUACCAGCAUUUACCGCCUAGAGAGCCCAGCCAGCCCGCAGCAGCCGGCGAUGGCGGGAGGCAGCGGCUGCUGCGGCAGGGCUCGCAGCCUGGACGUCCCCACGUCGGUGCCCGGGAGCACGACACCACCGUGGCAUUUCUUGCAGCACGGCAGUGCGAGGGAGGACGCGCUUGCAGGGACAGAGCAGCAGAGAGGGGAAAGGGAAUACUGCCGAGGACUGACGCCACUGCUGCGUCCCGCCAGACAGAAGGGGACCACCGGGCACCCAGCACGCGGGGGACACCAGCGCCCCAGCACCGAGAAGCAGCAGAAUAAAGGUCCUCCGGUAAAAUGUAUGAAGCAAGGGGCGGUCUGAGCUCAGUAUUGUAGGCAGCAGAGAAAAAACGGUCCCAGAGCACCUCCGGAUCCACCCCAGGGCGCUGGGCAGGCGUCUGCAGCUGCGGUGUCACGAGCGGGCGUGGGCCGAGAGGAAAGAGGACGGAGCGGAGGAGCCGGUGGCUCCGCGCCUUGUCCGACACCGACUGCGGAGCAGCUUUACGGGUGCCCUCACCCGCUCCUGGGCACGGCAUGAGCAGGCUCUCCCGGCCUGCCAGCCCGCAGCAGCGCUAAGGCUGGAGGAAGCAGGAGGAAAUUACAAGCUGCUGAGUGAGAAUGAGGCCAAAUUGAGAGAGGAAUUGGGCAUUUUUGCAGGUUACGAGCGCAGGCAGAGUUUCAACAGUUGAUGCUAAAGAAGUUCUGGGAGUGAUAGACUCUGGGUUUAAGCUCAUCUUGAGCUAGCUGGGGUUAGGAGGAGACUUCACAAGGGAUGUGCUGUCAGAAAACCCUGCCAUGUCGUCCCAGAUCCACUUCCAGUGGGAGCUGACACGUGUCUACCGACUUCAGAAGAGUCAAGGAGAUUUAAACUGGCCAAGGGUUUGGCAGUGAGAGAUUAGGCUAAUAUUUCAGUGCUUGAAUAACUCUAAGCGAUUGGAUCACACAAAACCAGCUCUUGCAAGGGCUGUGGUGCCCUUCUGUGACCCGGAGGGGUUUGAUGGGCGAUGCUGGAAGAGCCUGUGAUCCCAGGACGUCACUGACUGUGCCCCAGGAGCAGCGCUUCGGAGAGGCUGUGAAACUGCGAAUCA